UCAUCCACCAGGUUGCAGAUGAGCGUUCCAAGCACACUGCUGGUAUUGUUUUUCCCCGGUGGUUGGACUUCCACGAUGUGGGACUCGAGGAGCCUCCCUUGGUCACCAAGCCUUAUGCCAGGUGUCUACAGAACGUCUGGAGCUCAGGAUUCAGUUUUACAGAGAACGAACAGUUCUGACCGGUGCCUUUGUUUUACUGAAGGUUUUAAUAUAUUUUCCUGCCUACGUGGGCAAACUGCGAUGCUUGUACUUUUCACCUCGUCUCUCCCGGUGUUGCACGUCAGAGGUAAACCGGAUUCGCACCAUUUCAGCCUUUUAGAGGUCCCCGGUGGAGAGGCGAUUUUAUUCCAUAUUCCAGAAGAAAGUAACGGGGAUGAAAAUCGUGGCCAGCGGGGGAAGCCCCCGGCCCCUGCAGGUUGCUCAGCCCAGAAGUCGGUGGUACAGUGCCGCAUCUGCCCAGCACGCACUUCAGGGUUGUUGAACUUCACUCCCCGAGCAGCCACAGAGGUCGCUUCUGAGCAGCACGAAACGUGGUGGAUUUUUUUUUAUUUUUUUAAAUUUUUUUUCCUCCCCACCAAGGCUCUCGGUCCCUCAUGGCCGGAGUGGCAAAGCACGUUUAAAUCCUUAACUCGGAUUUCCCACGUGGUGUCUCGUUGA
rnacentral:lncRNA from 1 species